rnacentral:lncRNA from 1 species
GUUGUAUAAUGCUAUAACCUGAAAAGAACAAAUACAUAUUAUUUUUCAUAUCAAUGGAAAAUUCACAGGAAUUGAUAACAUCUUAGAUUGUAAAAACAGUCUUAAUUAAGCAAAUCAGAAGUAGUAUAGAAAACAUUGCUGUACUGAAGGUAUACUAAUAAUGCACUGAAAAAUAUAUUAAUAACAAAAUUAAAAAGUAAGAUUCCUACCACUUUGAUAUUAAAAGAUAAAAAUCCUCUCUAUAACACUUUUAUUAAAAAGUAAUUCUAAAAUAAAACAUUGUAGUAAUUAUAGAAAAUUAACAUAAUGAAAAUGCUGAAUAUCCAGAUUAGUGAAAUAGAGGUAGCAGUGCUCAGAAAUAUAUUCAUAGACCAAAACUAUCUUCUAUUAGUAAAAAAGAAGUUAAACGAAAUAAGCAUAUAAUUUAUGGAAACAUGGACCUAUGAAAACCAAACAUUAAUAAAGGUAACACUGGAAAAAGGUGAAUCAAAAAAAUAAAAAGCAAAACAGUAAAAAACUUCAUAAGAAAAGAAAUCUCAGAGCUAAGUGGGUGUUUGUUUGUUUUUGUUUUUGAGAUGGAGUCUCCCAUUGUCACUCAGUCUGGAGUGCAGUGGCGCCAUCUCAGCUCACUGCAACCCCCGCCACCACGACCGGCUAAUUUCUGUAUUUUUAGUAGAGACAGGCUUUCACUCUUUUGAGCAGGCUUGUCCAGAACUCCUGACCUCAGGUGAUAUCCACCUGCCUUGGGCUCCCAAAGUGCUGAAAUUACAGGCGUGAGCCACAGCACCUAGCUGCUAAGUGUUUUCUUUUUUCUUUUUUUUUUUCUUUUUCUUGAGACAGAGUCUCGCUCUGUCACACAGGCUGGAGUGCAAUGGCAUGAUAGCUCACUGCAAGCUCUGCCUCCCUGGUUGAAAUGAUUCUGCCUCAGCCUCCCAAGUACCUGGGGUUACAGGCACAUACCACUACUCCUGGCUAAUUUUUGUAUUUUUGUAGAGAUGGGUUUCACCAUGUUGUCCUGGCUGGUCUUGAACUCCUGACCUCGUGAUCCACCUGCCUCAGCCUUCCAAAGUGCUGGGAUUACAGGCAUGAGCCACCAUGCCUGGCAUAUGUGUUUUUUUAAAGAAAAAAAAAAUUGGCUAACCCAACAGAGAAAAAUUGAAUAUAUGUUAAUUUAAUAGUGGUAAUCAUCACACAAUGUCUAUGUAUAUCAAAUAAAAGAUGAAAAAGCAAAAAGAAAAAUGGAAAACGGCAAUAAAUCCGAAAAGAAAGAAAAUGGAAGGAAGGAAGGGAAGGGAAAUGAACGAAAGGGAUUAAAGGCAGGAAGGAAGGAAGGGACGAAGGGACAAGAGCAAAAUAAUAUAAACAAGGAUGAAAAUGGCACAAAUUAUGUUCAAUCAUAUAAAAAUAAAUGUGAAAUAUGAAUUUGAGGAGAAAACAUAGUUAUCUGUGGAUUGUCAUAACAGCAUUUGAUAGAAUUUUUUGUAAGGCAGAAGUAAAUGGCUAAUUCUAAUGUAUGAUUAAAAUGUAUAUUAGGCCGGGUGCGGUGGCUCACGCCUGUAAUCCCAGCACUUUGGGAGGCCGAGGCGGGAGGAUCACCUGAGCCCUAGAGUUUGAG